rnacentral:rRNA from 1 species
CUCGGAGUUUGAUCCUGGCUCAGAUUGAACGCUGGCGGAAUGCUUUACACAUGCAAGUCGAACGGUAGAGGGGGUCAACCCCGUUGAGAGUGGCGAACGGGUGAGUAAUAUAUCGGAACGUGCCCAGUCGUGGGGGAUAACGUAGCGAAAGUUACGCUAAUACCGCAUACGAUCUAAGGAUGAAAGCGGGGACCGUAAGGCCUCGCGCGAUUGGAGCGGCCGAUAUCAGAUUAGGUAGUUGGUGGGGUAAAGGCUCAUCAAGCCAACGAUCUGUAGCUGGUCUGAGAGGACGACCA